rnacentral:lncRNA from 1 species
AGUUUCUGGUUCUGUGCAAUAUUCCCUGGUCGCAGAUGAAAAAUCCAGCAUUCAAGGAGUUUUUUCAGAAAUAUAUCUGUACUGUUUGUUGUUGUACUUGUACUAGUCGUAAAGUACCCGAUGAGUCGCUGUUACGAAAAGUAUAUUUAGAUAAAGUUUUUACUAACAAAAUCAAAACAAUUUAUGAAAAAAAUCAAACUGAAAAAUUGUGGAUAUCAUUAGACGAGACAACAGAUUUUUUAGGUAGAAAUAUUGUACAUUUUUUGAUAAAACCAUUGCAUGAGAAUAUCUCAAAUCGGCCAUAUUUAAUUGCCUGCAAGAUGUUAGAGGUGGUUAAUGGACAAACCAUUGCCAACUUUGUAAUACAGUGUCUUGAAAAUCUAUGGCAAAACUCGUUUGAAGAAAAAGUUGAUAAUGGGUCAUAAACAGAACAUUAAAAUUAUGUGUGCGUUGACUCAAACUUAACUAAAACAAUGUAAAUCAACCAUAUUUAUACUUACAGUUAUUUAAUAUGAGUGUACACCAUUAAUUUACCAGGUAAUUUUUACAUUUUAAUUAUUAGUUUUAAAAAUAUUAAAAUAUAAACAUCCUUUUUGUACCCCUCCGUGGACCGUUUCCAAACGCGGUUUCAAACUUCAUGAUCAAAAUUAAAAUGUAAUAAUUUACAAAUACUAAUACAUCACCUCUUUUAACCGUUAUUAAUAUAAUCAAAAUCCAUUUUUCCACUGUUAUACAAUAUUUAAAUAAAAUUUCUUCAAAUUAUGAUACAUGAACAAUUUGUUAUUAGGUCCGCGACUCUUUCCGUGGUCAUAAUAUAUACAAUGUUUGAAUUCUCAAUAUUUGGAACGCAGCCUAAAUUGUUUAUUUGAACUGGUAACAUUUCAAUCGCUGUCAGUUUAAGAUACCUUGGUUUCGGUCUGCAUGCGCUCCGUCAAUUAAAAAACAAAAAUUGCUUAAAUCAAAGAUUAUUUCAGUAUAAUAUAAAAGAUCAUUGCGACUUUUCUGUGACUUCGAUACCACGUAAAUUAAAAUGCCUAGAAAAAAUACACUAAAGAAUCUUACUGAUGAAGAAAAAAAGAUGAGACGGCGUGAACAAAAAAAAUUAAGUAUGCGUCGAGCUCGGGCUAAGUUAACUGAAGCUGCUGUUGAAGAGAUACGCAAACAAGAUAGAGAAAGAUACCAUAAGAAAAAGGAUAGAGGAGAUAUUAAAACAAUUGAUCAGUUUACACCGAGGCAACAGCGGCAAAUAAGAAAAAUGUGGCGCGAAAAAUCGAAGAAACGGCGACAAUUAUUAAAGAUGCGAAAAGCUACUGAAUCACUUAUACAAGAAAAUACUCCACCGGCAAGUCCGUCUUCCUCACUCUCGCGAGUUGAAUCUGGACGUGCAGUAGCUGCCCGAAAUAAAAGAGCAAGAAAAGCUGAAAAUGAGGCUUUAAAGAAAAAGGUGUUUCAGAUGGGGAAGGUAAUUAAAAAGUAUAGAAUGAGAAUACGAAGACUAGAAGAAAGAAAACAGAAAGCAUCGAAGUCGAGUUCUAGAAAUAAAGUCUUGAAAACGGAUAUAAGAAAAGCUGUGCAUGAUUUUUUAAUAAAUGACGAAUAUAGUAGAUUAACUGCAGGUAAAAAUGAAACAAUAACUAGG